GAUGAACGCUGGCGGCGUGCCUAAUACAUGCAAGUCGAACGCUAAAGGCGGAGCUUGGUUUUCUGGAUGACUUGCGAACGGGUGAGUAACGCGUAGGCAACCUGCCUCUUAGCGGGGGCUAACUAUUAGAAACGCUAGCACAUAACGCGUGACAACAGUUCAUGCAUGAGGUCGGAUAAAAAGGGGCAACUGCUCGAUUACCUGAUGGCCUUGCGUUGUAUUAGUUAGUUGGUGAGGUAACGGCGCAUCAAGGCGACGAUGCAUAGCCGACCUGAGGGGGUGUAGGGCCACACUGAGACUGAGACACGGCCCAGAGUCCGACGGGAGGCAGCAGUAGGGAAUCGUGGGAAAUGGACGGAAGACUGAACGAGCGACGCCGCGUGAGUGAAGAAGGGUUUCGGGUGGGAAAGCGCUGUUGUAGGUGUAGAACGAGUGUGAGUGUGGAAAGUUCACUCUGUGACGGUAGCUGACCAGAAAGCGACGGCUAACUACGUG
rnacentral:rRNA from 1 species